AUUAAAUGAAGGACCCUCCAGGCACCUACGAAAGGUCUAACAAAGCACCAUGUGAUUUUAUUUGUGUGCGUUAUACUAACUGCAUUUAUAAUUUUCAAAACUAUAAAGGGCCCUGCAAUCAGAUUCUGUCCGACCUCUGCUGCACUGCCAACGUAGAACACAUUAUCAAUGUACAUGUUAUUAUUCUAUCGAAGAGUGAAUUACUGUGAAC